UACGUAGGGUGCAAGCGUUGUCCGGAAUUAUUGGGCGUAAAGAGCUCGUAGGCGGUUUGUCACGUCUGCUGUGAAAAUUGGAGGCUCAACCUCCAGCUUGCAGUGGGUACGGGCAGACUAGAGUGCGGUAGGGGAGAUUGGAAUUCCUGGUGUAGCGGUGGAAUGCGCAGAUAUCAGGAGGAACACCGAUGGCGAAGGCAGAUCUCUGGGCCGUAACUGACGCUGAGGAGCGAAAGCGUGGGGAGCGAACAGG
rnacentral:rRNA from 1 species